CCUACGGGAGGCUGCAGUCGAGAAUCAUUCACAAUGGGGGAAACCCUGAUGGUGCGACGCCGCGUGGGGGAAUGAAGGUCUUCGGAUUGUAAACCCCUGUCAUGUGGGAGCAAAUUAAAAAGAUAGUACCACAAGAGGAAGAGACGGCUAACUCUGUGCCAGCAGCCGCGGUAAUACAGUGGUCUCAAGCGUUGUUCGGAAUCACUGGGCGUAAGGCGUGCGUAGGCUGUUUCGUAAGUCGUGUGUGAAAGGCGCGGGCUCAACCCGCGGACGGCACAUGAUACUGCGAGACUAGAGUAAUGGAGGGGGAACCGGAAUUCUCGGUGUAGCAGUGAAAUGCGUAGAUAUCGAGAGGAACACUCGUGGCGAAGGUGGGUUCCUGGACAUUAACUGACGCUGAGGCACGAAGGCCAGGGGAGCGAAAGGGAUUAGAUACCCGGGUAGUC
rnacentral:rRNA from 1 species